rnacentral:snRNA from 1 species
GGAUGUGAGGGCGAUCUGGCUGCGACAUCUGUCACCCCAUUGAUCGCCAGGGUUGAUUCGGCUGAUCUGGCUGGCUAGGCGGGUGUCCCCUUCCUCCCUCACCGCUCCAUGUGCGUCCCUCCCGAAGCUGCGCACUCGGUCGAAGAGGACGACCAUCCCCGAUAGAGGAGGACCGUUCUUCGGUCAAGGGUAUACGAGUAGCUGCGCUCCCCUGCUAGAACCUCCAAACAAGCUCUCAAGAAGGCCUGUUACUUUGUGUCUCCUGGGUUGGGAGGAGAAGAGGGGAUUAUUAAUAAGAUAAAGGGAAAGGAGUGGCUCCUGAGAACUUGCCAUUUC